rnacentral:tRNA from 1 species
GGUUUCGUAGCUCAGUCGGAAGAGCGAGCGGUUGUUAACCGCUGGGUCGCAGGUUCGAUCCCUGCCGGGACCG